AACGAACGCUGGCGGCAGGCUUAACACAUGCAAGUCGAACGCAUCCUUCGGGGUGAGUGGCAGACGGGUGAGUAACGCGUGGGAACGUGCCCUUCAGUUCGGGAUAACCCAGGGAGACUUGGGCUAAUACCGGAUACGUGCGAGAGCAGAAAGAUUUAUCGCUGAAGGAUCGGCUCGCGUCUGAUUAGCUAGUUGGUGGGGUAAUGGCCCACCAAGGCGACGAUCAGUAGCUGGUCUGAGAGGAUGAUCAGCCACAUUGGGACUGAGACACGGCCCAAACUCCUACGGGAGGCAGCAGUGGGGAAUAUUGGACAAUGGGCGCAAGCCUGAUCCAGCCAUGCCGCGUGAGUGAUGAAGGCCUUAGGGUAGUAAAGCUCUUUUGUCCGGGACGAUAAUGACGGUACCGGAAGAAGAAGCCCCGGCUAACUUCGUGCCAGCCGCCGCCGUAAAAC
rnacentral:rRNA from 1 species